CAGGAAUCACUCCUGGUGGUGCUGAGGGGACAAUAUGGGAUGUCAGAAGUUGAACCAGGGUAUGCUGCAUGCAAGUAUAGAGCUAGACUGUCCUUCCAUAGCACCCGACAGCUGGAUGAAAAGUCAAAAACUAAGCUGAUCUGCCAGAUGGUUUGUGCACUCUAAAUCUAACAUCUGGAUAUUUUUUAAACAUUUAGAUGAUUGGAUGGAUGUAAUGGUGUCAUUUUAUCUCCACCCAGGAACUUGUGUCAACAGCUCCCUCCACGGACCAUUCACUAGAGUUGCAAUGUCACAGUGUCAGAAUCUUGUCAGAGAGGAAACCUUUGACAAAGCUGACUAGAGUGUCCUCAGCACUGGACUCAUGGCAGAUGCCAACAAGGUCAUGGUGAUUUUGAAGCUAGGAGGAUCUUUGCAACUUGUAUGAAUGU